GCAGAAAUAAGUCCAAAUUAUAAAAGUUCGACCAAAUCCAACUCCAAAGUCUUCCAAGUUUCCCAGGAAAUCCAAACCUUGUCAUAAAAAAAAUCCUCUAAGAGUUUUAUUCCUCUCUUAGGAAAUUGAUUUUUCACUAAAGAAGUAAUUCAUAAAAGUUGGAAAAUUUUGUCAUAUCGCCAACAAGGGUUAGAAGAACAUGAUAAAUUUCAGGGCUCAGUAUAAGUUAACUUUCCUACCAAAAUCAGUAAUUCGAAGACCAAUGGG
rnacentral:lncRNA from 1 species